AAUCCUCCCCCUUUUUCCCCUUUUCCUCUUUUUCUUGAAUACUCCUAGAGUGGCUAAUCCCCGUUAACAUCCCAUGGCACAUGAUUUGUGUUGUUUGAUCAUCACACCACAAAGGUAGAAUAAUAUGCACCAGAAAAUGAGAAGGAAAGUUCAGAAAGCUACAACACUGAGCUUGUUUUGGUGCACUUGGAAGGAAAGUUAGAAGAAAAUCUUUGAAGGGGGGAGCUGUUAGAUUUAAGAUUCUUGGUCUAAGGGGACUCCUUAGGAAGGAGAACUUUUCUUUUCUAGAUUUCAUUCAUAUGGUUCUGUUUGGAUUGAAAGUUUUCUAUCAGUCUCUAUUUGGGGUAAGGUUUUUGUAAAAAUAGAUGUCAUGGCUCAUUGGCGCUUUGCCAUUUUAUCUUUUAUGGAUUGGUGUAUAACAUUUUAUCUUAAUUUUCAUAUUUUGG
rnacentral:lncRNA from 1 species